rnacentral:rRNA from 1 species
AUUGAACGCUGGCGGCAGGCCUAACACAUGCAAGUCGAACGCGUGGCGGACGGGUGAGUAGUGUCUGGGAAACUGCCUGAUGGAGGGGGAACAAUACUAGAAACGGUAGCUAAUACCGCAUACCAGCGGAUGUGCCCAGAUGGGAGUAGCUAGUAGGUGGGGUAAAGGCUCACCGAGGCGACGAUCCCUAGCUGGUCUGAGAGGAUGACCAGCCACAGUGGAACUGAGACACGGUCCAGACUCCGACGGGAGGCAGCAGUGGGGAAUAUUGCACAAUGGGCGCAAGCCUGAUGCAGCCAUGCCGCGUGUAUGAAGAAGGCCUUCGGGUUGUAAAGUACUUUCAGCGGGGAGGCGUUACCCGCAGAAGAAGCACCGGCUAACUCCGUGCCAGCAGCCGCGGUAAUAC